CCUACGGGAGGCAGCAGUGAGGAAUAUUGGUCACUGUGCGCGAGCCUGAACCAGCCAUGCAGCGUGCAGGAUGACUGCCCUAUGGGUUGUAAACUUCUUUUAUAAAGGAGUAUAGUGAGGCACGUGUGCCUUUUUGUAUGUAUCUUAUGAAUAAGGAUCGGCUAACUCCGUGCCAGCCGCCGCGGUAAUACGGAGGAUUCGAGCGUUAUCCGGAUUUAUGGGGUUGAAAGGGAGCGUAGAUGGGUUGUUAAGUCAGUUGUGAAAGUUUGCGGCUCAACCGUAAAAUUGCAAUUGAUACUGGCAGCCGUGAGUACAGUUGAGGUAGGCGGAAUUCGUGGUGUAGCGGUGAAAUGCUUAGAUAUCACGAAGAACUCCGAUUGCGAAGGCAGCUUACUAAGCUGCCACUGACAUUGAUGCUCGAAAGUGUGGGUAUCAAACAGGAUUAGAUACCCCAGUAGUC
rnacentral:rRNA from 1 species